rnacentral:rRNA from 1 species
GACGAACGCUGGCGGCGUGCUUAACACAUGCAAGUCGAGCGGUAAGGCCCUUUCGGGGGUACACGAGCGGCGAACGGGUGAGUAACACGUGGGUGACCUGCCCUCAGCUCUGGGAUAAGCCUGGGAAACCGGGUCUAAUACCGGAUAUGACUCCAUGACGCAUGUUGUGGGGUGAAAGCCUUGUGCGGCUGAGGAUGGGCCCGCGGCCUAUCAGCUUGUUGGUGGGGNGAUGGCCUACCAAGGCGACGACGGGUAGCCGGCCUGAGAGGGCGACCGGCCACACUGGGACUGAGACACGGCCCAGACUCCUACGGGAGGCAGCAGUGGGAAUCUUGCGCAAUGGGCGAAAGCCUGACGCAGCGACGCCGCGUGA